rnacentral:lncRNA from 1 species
CUUGACAAACACCGUUUCUUGUAACUUCGGUCUGUUACAUAAAAAGCAGUGGGCAGACGCCGGAUACGCCAAGGCUUGAUGCCCUACUAAAAAAUUUAGAGCUUUACUAGGUUAAAAGUGAACGAGUAGCCUGUAAAAAACUGAGUUACUAGCAGGAAUUAAGCGAUAGAAAAACAAUAUUGUAGCCCCCUGGAAUGGUUGGCAUGGCUAUGGAGAAGUCUCAAUCAACAAUACUGACUGAUCGGCCUACAGAAAAGGCUUGUGAAUAAGAUUCUAAUACUAAAAAAAUGAACAGAUUUUGCAC